CGAGACUAUCCGCACAGCUUCUCCUCAGGCCCCACAGCUAGAACCCCAAAUCGCCUAGUCCCAACCCAUGCACUCUCUAAUCGGCGCCACACGACGGGCCUUCCCCACAACCUCAUCUGCUUGGGGACGUAAAGGGCUCUGUGGGGGAGCUGCAGCUUUCGUGCCCAUCUGUUAAAGGCCAGAACUUCCCAUCUCUGAAAUGCGGGAGGGAACAGAGCUCAAGCUUGAAUAACUGAGCGCGGCCCGGCAGUCCCCCAAGUGAAGAUUCACCAGAGAAUAAGCCUGAUGGAAGUCUGGAGAUAACAGGACUCCCAACCAGCAGGUCCUCCUGAUUCUCAGGCCUUCAGACACAGACUGGAAUCUAAAGCAUUGGCUCUCGGGCUAUCCACCCUUCAGACUACAGGACCAGCUUUCCUGGGUCUCCAGUUUGC
rnacentral:lncRNA from 1 species